GUGGGGAAUCUUAGACAAUGGGCGCAAGCCUGAUCUAGCCAUGCCGCGUGAGCGAUGAAGGCCUUAGGGUUGUAAAGCUCUUUCGCUGGGGAAGAUAAUGACUGUACCCAGUAAAGAAGCCCCGGCUAACUCCGUGCCAGCAGCCGCGGUAAUACGGAGGGGGCUAGCGUUGUUCGGAAUUACUGGGCGUAAAGCGCGCGUAGGCGGAUUGGAAGGUUGGGGGUGAAAUCCCGGGGCUCAACCUCGGAACUGCCUGCAAAACUCCCAGUCUUGAGUUCGAGAGAGGUGAGUGGAAUUCCGAGUGUAGAGGUGAAAUUCGUAGAUAUUCGGAGGAACACCAGUGGCGAAGGCGGCUCACUGGCUCGAUACUGACGCUGAGGUGCGAAAGCGUGGGGAGCAAACAGGAUUAGAUACCCUAGUAGUCC
rnacentral:rRNA from 1 species